rnacentral:rRNA from 1 species
UAAGCGGAGGAAAAGAAACUAACAAGGAUUCCCCUAGUAACGGCGAGUGAAGCGGGAAGAGCUCAAAUUUGUAAUCUGGCACCAUCGGUGUCCGAGUUGUAAUCUCGAGAAGUGUUUUCCGCGCCGGACCGCAUAUAAGUCUGUUGGAAUACAGCGUCAUAGUGGUGAGAACCCCGUAACUGAUGCGGAUGCCCGGUGCUUUGUGAUACACUUUCGAAGAGUCGAGUUGUUUGGGAAUGCAGCUCAAAUUGGGUGGUAAAUUCCAUCUAAAGCUAAAUAUUGGCGAGAGACCGAUAGCGAACAAGUACCGUGAGGGAAAGAUGAAAAGCACUUUGGAAAGAGAGUUAACAGUACGUGAAAUUGUUGGAAGGGAAACGCUUGAAGUCAGACUUGCUAUUUGGAGUUCAGCCGCAAGGUGUAUUCUUCGAUUUGCAGGCCAGCAUCAGUUUUCUGGGGUGGAAAAGGGUAUUGAGAAGGUAGCAGUUUCGGCUGUGUUAUAGCUCUUUGCUGGAUUCAUCCUGGGGGACUGAGGAACGCAGCGCGCUUUUUGCAAGGCCUUCGGGCUUUUCGUGCUUAGGAUGCUGGUGGAAUGGCUUUAAACGACCCGUCUUGAAACACG